rnacentral:rRNA from 1 species
UUAGUCGGUCUCGGAGCAAACGAAGGGAAGCAUGUUAUUUAAUACGGAACUACGCGUAAAAUCUUACCAGUUCUUGCAUAAACCAAUCGCUCUGUUUUUUUUUUGGAUUUAACUUUCAAACUGCUCAAUUUUAUAAAUGUAUUUUGGUCGUUGCUCUAUGCAAACGAAAAAAGCAAAGGAUAAAGAAAAAUAAAAAGAGCACAGAGGGCGGAAUUAUAUAAUAACCAAUAUUGAAAUUCGCCAAUUAACUACUUUUCAACCGGUUAGCAUAAAAGAUUUUAAAGCAAUUAAAAUUAAAAAAAACAAGCUUGGUUUACAGGUGUUGCAUGGCUGUCGUCA